rnacentral:rRNA from 1 species
UCGCAAUGCCCGAAAGGGUGACGAAGCGACGCCGCGUGAGUGAGGAAGGCCUUCGGGUUGUAAAGCUCUGUCAGGAGUUAAGAAAUAUAAGUAUGCUAAUACCAUAUUUAUUUGACGAAGGCUCCAAAGGAAGCCACGGCUAACUCUGUGCCAGCAGCCGCGGUAAUACAGAGGUGGCAAGCGUUGUUCGGAAUUAUUGGGCGUAAAGAGCACGUAGGUGGGUUUGUAAGUCAGAUGUGAAAGCCUUCUGUUCAACGGAAGAAUUGCAUCUGAAACUGCGAGUCUUGAGUGUAGGAGGGGAGAAUGGAACUUCUGGUGGAGCGGUGAAAUGCGUAGAUAUCAGAAGGAACGCCGGCGGCGAAAGCGAUUCUCUGGCCUAUUACUGACGCUCAGUGUGCGAAAGCUAGGGGAGCAAACGGGAUUAGAUACCCCGGUAGUCCUAGCCGUAAACGAUGGGCACUAAGUAGAGGGAAUUACCGAUGUUCUCUCUGCCGUAGCUAACGCAUUAAGUGCCCCGCCUGGGGAGUACGGCCGCAAGGCUAAAACUCAAAAGAAUUGACGGGGGCUCGCACAAGCGGUGGAGCAUGUGGCUUAAUUCGAUGCAACGCGAAGAACCUUACCGGGGCUUGACAUGGUAGAAGUAGGAACCCGAAAGGGUAACGAACGGUAUCCAGUCCGUAACUAUCACAGGUGUUGCAU